rnacentral:rRNA from 1 species
ACAACAGUUGGAAACGACUGCUAAUACCGCAUAAGCCCACGACCCGGCAUCGGGAAGAGGGAAAAGGAGCAAUCCGCUUUGAGAUGGCCUCGCGUCCGAUUAGCUAGUUGGUGAGGUAACGGCCCACCAAGGCGACGAUCGGUAGCCGGACUGAGAGGUUGAACGGCCACAUUGGGACUGAGACACGGCCCAGACUCCUACGGGAGGCAGCAGUGGGGAAUAUUGCACAAUGGGGGAAACCCUGAUGCAGCGACGCCGCGUGGAGGAAGAAGGUCUUCGGAUUGUAAACUCCUGUUGUUGAGGAAGAUAAUGACGGUACUCAACAAGGAAGUGACGGCUAACUACGUGCCAGCAGCCGCGGUAAAACGUAGGUCACAAGCGUUGUCCGGAAUUACUGGGUGUAAAGGGAGCGCAGGCGGGCGAUCAAGUUGGAAGUGAAAUCCAUGGGCUCAACCCAUGAACUGCUUUCAAAACUGGUCGUCUUGAGUAGUGCAGAGGUAGGCGGAAUUCCCGGUGUAGCGGUGGAAUGCGUAGAUAUCGGGAGGAACACCAGUGGCGAAGGCGGCCUACUGGGCACCAACUGACGCUGAGGCUCGAAAGUGUGGGUAGCAGACAGGAUUAGAUACCCUGGUAGUCCACACCGUAAACGAUGAUUACUAGGUGUUGGGAGAUUGACCCUCUCAGUGCCG